rnacentral:rRNA from 1 species
GCGGGAGAGCACCACCAGGCGUGAAGCCUGCGGUUUAAUUGGAGUCAACGCCGGGAACCUUACCGGGAGCGACAGCAGAGUGAAGGCCAGGUUGAAGAUCUUGCCGGACGAGCUGAGAGGAGGUGCAUGGCCGUCGCCAGUUCGUGCCGUGAGGUGUCCUCUUAAGUGAGGUAACGAACGAGACCCGUGCCCCAUGUUGCCAGCAAAUCCUAAAGGGAUGUUGGGCACUCUUGGGGGACCGCAGCCGAUAAGGCUGAGGAAGGUACGGGCAACGGCAGGUCAGUAUGCCCCGAAUCUCCCGGGCCACACGCGGGCUGCAAUGGUAGGGACAGAGGGCUGCAACCCCGAGAGGGGAAGCAAUCCCUAAACCCUACCUCAGUUGGGAUCGAGGGCUGCAACCCGCCCUCGUGAACAUGGAAUGCCUAGUAACUGCACGUCAUCAUCGUGCGGUGAAUACGUCCCUGCUCUUUGCACACACUGCCCGUCGAACCACCCGAAUGAGGUUUGGGUGAGGCAUGGUCGAAAGUUGGCCAUGUCGAAUCUGGACCUUGUAAGGAGGGUUAAGUCGUAACAA